rnacentral:rRNA from 1 species
CGUGAUCCUGACGGAGAGACAUUG